rnacentral:rRNA from 1 species
UACGUAGGAUGCUAGCGUUGUCCGGAUUUACUGGGCGUAAAGCGCGCGCAGGCGGCACUGUAAGUAAGGUGUGAAAUAUCCCUGCUCAACGGGGAGGGUGCACUUUAGACUGCAGAGCUAGAGGACGGUAGGAGGGGGGUGGAAUUGCUGGUGUAGCGGUGAAAUGCGUAGAGAUCAGCAGGAACACCCGUGGCGAAGGCGGCCCCCUGGGCCGAACCUGACGCUGAGGCGCGAAGGCUAGGGGAGCGAACGGGAGUAGAACCGA